rfam:Loxodonta africana unplaced genomic scaffold scaffold_90, whole genome shotgun sequence.
AUACUCUGGUUUCUCCUCAGAUUGAGUAAAUCUUUCAUCUUUUACUGAAGAUUUCUGUGAGGAGGAACCUUAGGAGGAAGAUACAUACAUAUGUGUGUAUA